AUAUAGUGCUAGGGGGGCUAGUGUUACUAGCUGAGAGGAAGAUAGAAUCUUUGACCCUUAUAACCUGAUCUAGAUGAUACUAGCGUAGGGAAGCGAUUUGGAUACAUG
rnacentral:ncRNA from 2 species